rnacentral:lncRNA from 1 species
AUCCUUCUUUGAUGGUUGAUCAGGUGCCUCCUUCUUUUUGAUUUAGACUCUUUCAAAGAUGGAAAGUAAAAGGAGGAGUUUCAGAUCUGAGACGCUCUCAGGAAACUCAAGAUGGAGGGAGGAAAGAUAUGAAAACAAAAAACCCUAGAAGAAGACCCUCUUCUUCUUCACGUUUUUCUCUCUAGACACCCUAACUUGCAUCUUUUAUAUCUCCACGACCCAAAGGU